rnacentral:rRNA from 1 species
UACAGAGGUCUCAAGCGUUGUUCGGAUUCAUUGGGCGUAAAGGGUGCGUAGGCGGCGCGGUAAGUCGGGUGUGAAAUCUCGGAGCUUAACUCCGAAACUGCAUUCGAUACUGCCGUGCUUGAGGACUGGAGAGGAGACUGGAAUUUACGGUGUAGCGGUGAAAUGCGUAGAUAUCGUAAGGAAGACCAGUGGCGAAGGCGGGUCUCUGGGCCGAUACUGACGCUGAUGCACGAAAGCGUGGGGAGCAAACAGG